rfam:Aedes albopictus isolate Foshan contig5033, whole genome shotgun sequence.
UGUUCUGUAGCUUAGUUGGUUAAAGCGCCGGAUUAGCGAUAACGGAGUCGUGGGUUCGAAUCCCACCAAAACAA